rnacentral:rRNA from 1 species
GGGGGUCUAUACAUGCAGUCGAGCGAAUGGAUUAAGAGCUUGCUCUUAUGAAGUUAGCGGCGGACGGGUGAGUAACACGUGGGUAACCUGCCCAUAAGACUGGGAUAACUCCGGGAAACCGGGGCUAAUACCGGAUAACAUUUUGAACCGCAUGGUUCGAAAUUGAAAGGCGGCUUCGGCUGUCACUUAUGGAUGGACCCGCGUCGCAUUAGCUAGUUGGUGAGGUAACGGCUCACCAAGGCAACGAUGCGUAGCCGACCUGAGAGGGUGAUCGGCCACACUGGGACUGAGACACGGCCCAGACUCCUACGGGAGGCAGCAGUAGGGAAUCUUCCGCAAUGGACGAAAGUCUGACGGAGCAACGCCGCGUGAGUGAUGAAGGCUUUCGGGUCGUAAAACUCUGUUGUUAGGGAAGAACAAGUGCUAGUUGAAUAAGCUGGCACCUUGACGGUACCUAACCAGAAAGCCACGGCUAACUACGUGCCAGCAGCCGCGGUAAUACGUAGGUGGCAAGCGUUAUCCGGAAUUAUUGGGCGUAAAGCGCGCGCAGGUGGUUUCUUAAGUCUGAUGUGAAAGCCCACGGCUCAACCGUGGAGGGUCAUUGGAAACUGGGAGACUUGAGUGCAGAAGAGGAAAGUGGAAUUCCAUGUGUAGCGGUGAAAUGCGUAGAGAUAUGGAGGAACACCAGUGGCGAAGGCGACUUUCUGGUCUGUAACUGACACUGAGGCGCGAAAGCGUGGGGAGCAAACAGGAUUAGUAUUUUUUUUUAU